CAUCAACUGUUUUUCAAUCUAAAGGCACACUUCCACCCUCUGUUAAGACUGAUAAGAGAUCCUUAGUGAACCAACGCAACAACUUGCCUGUUCAAACUUCCACUGGGAGUAUUUUCACUCUGGAAUGUGUGCAGCCAAACAAGGCAUGCUGGACCCAGCCACCCAGUCCAGUCCAGCUGGAGAAGUUAAACCAUGCCUUACUGGAGAGAGGGCCAAA